GGUUAUUGUCUAUAAAUAAGAAAGUCACUUCCAAGCCAACCAGAAAUAUGUAUCAAAUUGAUCACAACCAGUAACAGAUUUCUUUGUUCUUUCCCCACUCCCACUGCUUCACUUGACUAGCCUUAA
rnacentral:Y_RNA from 1 species